rnacentral:rRNA from 1 species
GACGAAGGGGGCUAGCGUUGUUCGGAAUUACUGGGCGUAAAGCGCGUGUAGGCGGUUGUCCAAGUUGGAUGUGAAAGCCUUGAGCUUAACUCAAGAAAUGCAUUCAGGACUGGAUGACUAGAGGACCGGAGAGGAUAGUGGAAUUCCAGUGUAGUGGUGAAAUACGUAGAGAUUGGGAAGAACACCAGUGGCGAAGGCGGAC